rnacentral:rRNA from 1 species
GACGAACGCUGGCGGCGUGCCUAAUACAUGCAAGUUGAGCGCUGAAGGUUGGUACUUGUCCCAACUGGAUGAGCAGCGAACGGGUGAGUAACGCGUGGGGAAUCUGCCUUUGAGCGGGGGACAACAUUUGGAAACGAAUGCUAAUACCGCAUAAAAACUUUAAACACAAGUUUUAAGUUUGAAAGAUGCAAUUGCAUCACUCAAAGAUGAUCCCGCGUUGUAUUAGCUAGUUGGUGAGGUAAAGGCUCACCAAGGCGAUGAUACAUAGCCGACCUGAGAGGGUGAUCGGCCCAAUUGGGACUGAGACACGGCCCCAGCUCCUACGGGAGGCAGCAGUAGGGAAUCUUCGGAAAUGGACGAAAGUCUGACCGAGCAACGCCGCGUGAGUGAAGAAGGUUUUCGGAUCGUAAAACUCUGUUGGUAGAGAAGAACGUUGGUGAGAGUGGAAAGCUCAUCAAGUGACGGUAACUACACAGAAAGGGACGGCUAACUACGUG